ACGAACGCUGGCGGCGUGCUUAACACAUGCAAGUCGAGCGGGAACCCAGGGAGGGGUAACCCUCCUUGGGGGAGAGCGGUGAACGGGUGAGUAUCACGUGGGCAACCUGCCCCAGACACUGGGAUAACUCCGGGAAACCGGGGCUAAUACCGGAUACUUCGAUCGGUCCGCAUGGUCCGAUCGAGAAAGCUCCGACGGUCUGGGAUGGGCCCGCGGCCUAUCAGCUUGUUGGCGGGGUAACGGCCCACCAAGGCGACGACGGGUAGCUGGUCGGAGAGGACGGCCAGCCACACUGGGACUGAGACACGGCCCAGACUCCUACGGGAGGCAGCAGUGGGGAAUCUUGCGCCAAUGCGCGAAAGCGUGACGCAGCGACGCCGCGUGGGGGAUGAAGGCCCUCGGGUCGUAAACCCCUUUCGCCAGGGACGAAGCGAAAGUGACGGUACCUGGAGAAGAAGUCCCGGCUAACUACGU
rnacentral:rRNA from 1 species